rnacentral:lncRNA from 1 species
UCGUAGCAAACGGAUGCACUUUGUCGGUUUAUCCUUGUGGUGCGUGGUUCAUACAAAGAGCUUUAAGGACUCAGCCGCCGUGUGUGGGGGUGGGCGUGAGUGAGCUACCUAUAGCUAUAGGAAGGAGCGCGCGCGUAGACGCCGUCCAGUGUGGUGAGAAAGUUUUUAAAGAUAUUGCAGCGAGGAUUUUUCUUUGGUGACGCAAGCAAGGACGAGUGCCGAGCAGCGGAGAUAGUUUUCCUUGCACGAGUUGCAUCGCGAAGCAUCGUCGGAAGGACUCGGUACGGUGUUCGCUUGACGAGACGUGUGCGAAGCGUGAGAGUUGUUUCGUGCAUUGAGGAGGAUUCGAGCAAAGCCAAAAGCUAAUUAGUGACGAGUGAGUGUGACGAAGACGCGCGGUGGGUGGGAAAAUGCUUCUUGUUGAAAUCGUGUAGUUAGGACGCGAUAUUGUGGCGGCGGCAGCAGCAUUAUCCUGGGGAUUUGUUAUUUAUCGGUGCGAACCGGGAAUGCUAAGAAGGCAAGCUGCAGUGCGUAUGUGUACGAGAGAAAAAGGCAGAUAAUGGAACCGGGUGGUGGGGUCAUUUUCAAGUGGGUGGUCGGUGUUUGAAGCUGCGUAGUGUUUAUUUUGAAGUUCAUGUACGAAAAAUAGACGACGAUAAAAGUUUGGUCAUUUUUUCUCGAUCCAUGGAAUGGUGAUUUUGCAUCAAAAAGCAAGCUAUUAACGGAGAAGAAUCCCUAAUGCUGAAAAUUGAAUCCUACCCCUAAGGGAAUUACUCGGUUCAGUGAAAAAAAGGAUUCGAGAAGAAUAUCCGCCAGAAGUUAUUCUGAAUAAAUGAAAAAGUUUUGAUAUGUACUCCAGCAAAACCCAGUGACCGGAAAAUAGAAGCUACAGUGCUUAAUUCUUUGAACGUGGGCGUUCAGUCGAAACUUGUGUUGUGGAUGUGCAGAAUCUGCUACAGGAGUGACCUUCAACUUAUCGAUUUUUUGCUGCUGCAGCGUGUUUUCAUCGGAAAUAAAGAGGAAAUUGAAAAAAGUGCAUCACGUGGGAGCGUUGGAAUGUGUUGUGGAAUUCAUGAAUUUCAAAUGAAAUACCAAUAAAGGAUUGUGUUUUUUACUCAGUAGUGUAACAGUGCCAUCUAUAGCGAAGCAUACUACGUAUUUCACAAUUGAAGCCGGCAAAAAUCGAGAGAGGCGAAGCUAAAAAACCCCUCCUCCAAAUCGAUCGUACCAAACCAUAUGUGAAAAAGCGGAAAAUUAUUUCCACAUCAAGUGAUUGGCGUGAAGUGGAUGUGAAAGGGGAACCAAAUAUUGUGAAGCGAAGAGAAGCCAAGAAGAUUGAAGUGGAAAAAUACAAAUUUGUUUAUUCAUAUCGACGAGUACACACACCUGCAUUCGCUCACAGCCCGAUAGAUAGAAUUGCACCGCUCUGUUUGGAUUAAUAUACCGACGUGGACAGGAGAAGGGGCUCUGUUGCAUCUGUACUUUCGGUGCAUCCGUGGAAAACUGUAGUGGAAAGGUGGUUAUUUUUGUGAAUUUGCAUCGACACUGGUUUGUUUGGAAACUGUUCCAACAAAUCUUCGUGGCUCGCAAACAAAGUCGUCCUGAGAACGUGAGGAGAUUCGAGAAAUGAACGACUAAUGAAGACUGAUGGGUGUGUUUUACGUGCUUUUGGUAA